GAUCAGGGGGUCUAGCCAUAUUGGUGUCGAAAAGUAUUCUACAUACACUACCGCUUUUGCGUAAUUGUACUGUCGAAAACGCUUCGUUCGUAGCCAAGACGCAUGUCGAUACAUUACCGCAAAGUCGACAGCGUAGAUGCGAGCUGCUGUUCGUAGCACCUUAUUCCGUCAUAUUGUCUCUGGAUUAAAUGUAUUCCUAAUGUCACUUUUAUAAACAAAUAAAAGUUAAAACUACAAUAUUAUUGUAAAUUUGCAAUAAUUGGAAUUUACGGAAGGAUUAGGAACCUCACAACUAAUCUGCAAAAUGAAGAAGCAACAUAUUUUGUUACCGCUUAGAAGAAACAAUA